rnacentral:rRNA from 1 species
ACCUACCUGGCCAUACCACCCUGAACACGCCCGAUCUCGUCCGAUCUCGGAAGCUAAGCAGGGUCGGGCCUGGUUAGUACUUGGAUGGGAGACCGCCUGGGAAUACCAGGUGCUGUAAGCU